CGAGGAUAACAGUUGGAAACGACUGCUAAGACUGGAUAGGAGACAAGAAGGCAUCUUCUUGUUUUUAAAAGACCUAGCAAUAGGUAUGCUUAGGGAGGAGCUUGCGUCACAUUAGUUAGUUGGUGGGGUAAAGGCCUACCAAGACUAUGAUGUGUAGCCGGGCUGAGAGGUUGAACGGCCACAUUGGGACUGAGACACGGCCCAAACUCCUACGGGAGGCAGCAGUAGAGAAUUUUCGGCAAUGGAGGAAACUCUGACCGAGCAACGCCGCGUGAACGAUGAAGUAUUUCGGUACGUAAAGUUCUUUUAUUAGGGAAGAAUAAAUGAUGGAAAAAUCAUUCUGACGGUACCUAAUGAAUAAGCCCCGGCUAACUAUGUGCCAGCAGCCGCGGUAAUACAUAGGGGGCAAGCGUUAUCCGGAAUUAUUGGGCGUAAAGGGUGCGUAGGCGGUUAAAUAAGUUUAUGGUCUAAGUGCAAUGCUCAACAUUGUGAUGCUAUAAAAACUGUUUAGCUAGAGUAAGAUAGAGGCAAGUGGAAUUCCA
rnacentral:rRNA from 1 species